rnacentral:tRNA from 1 species
GAAAGUAUAGCUCAGUGGUAGGGUGUGCACUUAGCAUGCACAAGGUCCUGGGUUCAAUCCCCAGUACCUCCA